AGUGAACGCUGGCGGUAGGCCUAACACAUGCAAGUCGAACGGCAGCACAGUAAGAGCUUGCUCUUACGGGUGGCGAGUGGCGGACGGGUGAGGAAUACAUCGGGAUCUACUUUUUCGUGGGGGAUAACGUAGGGAAACUUACGCUAAUACCGCAUACGACCUACGGGUGAAAGCAGGGGAUCUUCGGACCUUGCGCGAUUGAAUGAGCCGAUGUCGGAUUAGCUAGUUGGCGGGGUAAAGGCCCACCAAGGCGACGAUCCGUAGCUGGUCUGAGAGGAUGAUCAGCCACACUGGAACUGAGACACGGUCCAGACUCCUACGGGAGGCGGCAGUGGGGAAUAUUGGACAAUGGGCGCAAGCCUGAUCCAGCCAUACCGCGUGGGUGAAGAAGGCCUUCGGGUUGUAAAGCCCUUUUGUUGGGAAAGAAAAGCAGCAGGUUAAUACCCCGCUGUUCUGACGGUACCCAAAGAAUAAGCACCGGCUAACUUCGUG
rnacentral:rRNA from 1 species